CUACGGGACGCUGCAGUGAGGAAUAUUGCACAAUGGGGGGAACCCUGAUGCAGCAACGCCGCGUGGAGGAUGACGCAUUUCGGUGUGUAAACUCCUUUUGUAUGUCAAGAAAAUGACGGUAGCAUAUGAGUAAGCACCGGCUAACUCCGUGCCAGCAGCCGCGGUAAUACGGAGGGUGCAAGCGUUACUCGGAAUCACUGGGCGUAAAGGACGCGUAGGCGGGUUGGAAAGUCAGGUGUGAAAUCCUACAGCUUAACUGUAGAACUGCACUUGAAACUUCUAAUCUAGAGUAUGGGAGGGGGAGAUGGAAUUAGUGGUGUAGGGGUAAAAUCCGUAGAUAUCACUAGGAAUACCUAAAGCGAAGGCGAUCUCCUGGAACAUUACUGACGCUAAGGCGUGAAAGCGUGGGGAGCAAACAGGAUUAGAUACCCUCGUAGUC
rnacentral:rRNA from 1 species